CCCUUAGAUGUCCUGGGCCGCACGCGUGCUACACUGACGCCUACAGCGAGUACUUCCCAGCCCCGAGAGGUGGCUGGUAAUCAGCAAUAGGCGUCGUGAUGGGGAUAGAUCUUUGGAAUUAUGGAUCUUGAAUGAGGAAUGCCUGGUAAGCGCAGGUCAUUAGCCUGCGCUGAUUAAGUCCCUGCCCUUUGUACACACCGCCCGUCGCUCCUACCGAUUUCGAGUGGUCCGGUGAAUCUUUCGGACUGCGCGCGGCCUCGUGCCGUGUCGCGGAAAGUCAGGUAAACCUUAUCACUUAGAGGAAGGAGAAGUCGUAACA
rnacentral:rRNA from 1 species